CGUAUCCUAUAGGUUUGCAAUGGGAUGGGAUCCGAAGCCCUCCGAGGGAUAAUACAGGCUCUCCCAUCCAACUCUUAUUCCGACACGUCCUCGUCGUGCAGAGUGGUAAUGUGCCUCCAUAGCUUGGGUACAUGGGCUAGAUCCAACCCCUUGGGCGGAUGGUGGCAUAUGGCGAACCAGGAGGGA
rnacentral:ribozyme from 1 species